CGCGUAGGCGGCCUGAUAAGUAGGGGGUGAAAUUUCGUGGCUCAACCACGAAACUGCCUUCUAGACUGUCCGGCUGGAGCACGGUAGAGGCAGAUGGAAUUCCCGGUGUAGCGGUGGAAUGCGUAGAGAUCGGGAAGAACACCAGUGGCGAAGGCGGUCUGCUGGGCCGUUGCUGACGCUGAAGCGCGACAGCGUGGGGAGCAAACA
rnacentral:rRNA from 1 species